UCAGCAUAAAGAAUAUAACAGAUUUAGGAUGCAGAGUGCUACCUCGCUGCAUUAGCUCAGUAUGUGCCAGGUUCAGUGUGUAUCCAGGGCAAGGCUGCUUCUCAGGAAGCAUGCUUCCAGCUCACCAAGGAUGCCAUCUUACAGUUGGCAUCCUUGGUGACCGUAAUUACGUAAGCAUGACCAUAAUUACUUAAACCUCUCAAAGUGUGUCAAGAGCUUCUCAUUAAGAGAUAAAGUUUCUUUCCCCUUAAAUUGCAGAAACUAUUACUUAUGCAUGCCUGAAACAUGAGAUGCGAAAUUAUUGUUGGGUGAAUAAAAAAAAGCCCCUUCAGCCCCACUCUUUCCAUUAACAUCACAAGACGAAAACUCCACACUUAACACAAUCUGACUCUUUCCAAUAAAAGCCAAGUCAAAUGUUCUGUCUAACCACUGAUGCAGGGCUGAGUUUGUGGCCAAGCAGCCUGCGCCUUUAAAUUUUUCAUCUUCCUUCAUAAUUUGACCUGUCCCCCUGCCAGGGGCGUGGAGCCAGCACGGCUAUUUUUAGUUUGUGAGCUUUGACGACCAGGCUACAGAGACACAGGGAAGGAGUUUUACUGUGUUGUUUCAGCUGGACAAACAUUUACCUCCUCAAUCCUUUUAUCACGGCGCAACCGAGGAGGAAAUGCACGGCUUGCAGGCUCGCCCCAGACACAAAAACAAGUCUGAUGGUUGGAUGGGAUGGUGUGAGUGAUAACAAGCCCUCAAGUCCAGCGUAAUGAUGGCUAAAGACCCAGAGCUCCAUCUGUCACAGUAUCUGUCAGACGGGCUGAGCUGUGACCCGAUAGGCUAGCCGCAUCACAGGCCAGGACACAAUUACUCAAAAGAAGAAGAGGGUCUGUCACACGCGUGACAAUUACCCUGACAAAAAAAAAAAAAAA